CAUGGCGGCCCCCAGCGAACCGCAGCCUUUGACCUUCUGCAGUUGGCGGCCGGGGCCUGGAGGCUGGGAAUGUCCCUGAGGAGCUGCGGUUGGCGCUGGCUCCAGGCCCGAGGCCUGCGGGGGGCACAGGCCCCGGACCCGGUCCUCCGCUACAUGGGCAAAGGCCGCAGGAAGAGCCGCGUGUUCGUCUGGGGAUUCGCCCACACCGGGGCCCUGGGCCUCCCGCACCUGGUGCUGGGCCGCAGCGGAGGCCAGAAACCCCGGCAAAUCCAACUGAGGCCGUGCGGAGUGGAGCUGGAACAGAGGAUCUCAUCUGCGGCCUGUGGCUAUGGGUUCACUUUAUUGGCUUCACAAACUCGUGACAUCACCAAGGUCUGGGGAAUGGGCUUGAACAAAGAUUCCCAGAUUGGAUUUCACCGGAGUCGGGCAGAUAGGACAAAGGGCUAUGAAUUUGUUCUGGAACCAUCACCAGUGCCGUUACCUCUAGAGAGGCCUCAGGAAACCCGUGUGAUCCAGGUGUCAUGUGGGAGAGCACAUUCGCUACUGCUGACUGACAACGAAGGAGUUUUCAGUAUGGGAAACAAUGCCUACGGACAGUGUGGGAGAAGCAUCGUGGACAAUGAGAUUUAUAGUGGCAGCCAAAUUAUUCACCGAAUUGAAGAUUUAGAUGACAAAAUUGUUGAGGUUACAUGCGGACAGGAUCACAGUCUCUUCAGAACAGAGAAGGGCGAGAUCUAUUCCUGUGGCUGGGGAGCUGACGGACAAACAGGUCUUGGGCACUAUGGUGUCACCUGUAAAUUGACCAGGCUCACAGGCGAUAUUGCUGGAGUCAAUAUUGUACAGACAGCAACAUACGGAGACUUCUGUUUAGCCGUAUCCAAAGAUGGGAAUCUGUUUGGCUGGGGCAACUCUGAGUAUCUUCAGUUCUCUGCCGUUACUGAGGCCACACAAGUCAGUGUUCCAAAGCACCUUCCUUUUAAAGGAGUUGGAAAGAUAAAGCAGGCAGCAUGUGGUGGGACCCAUGCUGCAAUACUUAACAGAGAAGGCAAUGUCUUUGUCUGGGGUUAUGGAAUCCUAGGAAAGGGCUGCAAUCUCUCUGAAUCUGGAAUGCCAGAGAUGAUCCCAUCAACGCUGUUUGGCUGCUCAGAGUUCACGCCUGAGGUCCAAGUUGACCAUAUUCGUUGUGGCCUCAACCAUUUUGCUGCCAUCACCAAUCGUGGUGAGCUUUUCGUGUGGGGCAAGAAUCUCCGAGGCUGCCUUGGCAUUGGAAGCAUGGAUGAUCAGUACUUUCCCUGGCGGGUGACAGUACCAGGCAACGUCGUGGAUGUGGCUUGUGGGGUGGACCACAUGGUGGCACUUACAAAAUCAUUCAUCUGAACUGAUACUAGCUGCACGCAAUGAGAGUUUGCAACAUGGAUCUUCUUUGAUUCUGGACCAAAAUCAGCUGCCCAGGAUCCCUGAUCUUCUUCCAGUAUCCACAGAAGAAACGUACUGCUGACAGCUUCGCAAACUGCUGAUUACUCCUCAUCCAGAUGUUAGCAUUUAACAAGAAUGCAGGGCUAGCAAGUAGUCAGUAUCAACUGGCUUAACCAGCUGCUGGUUAUAAUAAAUCAAAGCAAAAUAGACAAUAGAUUUAUUGAAAGAUCCUCAUGUUGGCAGCUGUCAGAUUAUGAUCAAGAUAAAAUAAAACCAGUAAUAAUUCACUACAUAUUUACAGGCAAUCAUGAAGAAUAAAUGAAACAUGAGGUAAUAAAUCGGCUGCACAAUUUAAGUAUACAAAUAAUUGCAAUAUAUUGCAAAAUGUAGGUCUGUUUAAUUUACAGAAUAGAAAGAACACACACUCCACAAGAGGACACACUUCACGAUUCUACAAUAUGGGCAAGUGGUGUCAUAGUGGGAUAAUUACUAGACUAUUUGAGAUCCAGGUAGUGUUCUGGGACUGUGGUUCGGAUCCUGCCACAGAAGAAGGUGGAAUUUAAAUUUAGUAAAAUAUUACCAGUCUGAUGAUGACUGUGAUGCCACAGUCAAUUGGCAUAAAUAUCCAUCUGACUCACUAAUGUCCUUUUAGGAAGGGAGACUGCCAUCCUAUACGUGACUGCAGGCCCACAGCAAAGUGAUUGACUCUUAACUGCUCUCAGGGAAUUAAAGAUGGAAAAUAAAUGCUGGCCAGUAACACCCACAAUGAAUGAAUAAAAAAACACACACAUCUGCACAGGGAUUAUCAUUACUUUUAGCUCCUGCCAUAUGCUUUUUAUAUUGAAGUCCAUAGAUUAUAUGUUGUCAUAGUGUCCUUAUAAAAUUCUCAAUCAUUUCCAUCCUCUCAUGUGUUUUAU